rnacentral:rRNA from 1 species
ACAGCAGUAGCCGCGGUAAUACGGAGGGAGCUAGCGUUGUUCGGAAUUACUGGGCGUAAAGGGCGCGUAGGCGGUUUGGACAGUCAGAUGUGAAAUUCCUGGGCUUAACCUGGGGGCUGCAUUUGAUACGUUCAGGCUUGAGUGUGGAAGAGGGUCGUGGAAUUCCCAGUGUAGAGGUGAAAUUCGUAGAUAUUGGGAAGAACACCGGUGGCGAAGGCGGCGACCUGGUCCAUUACUGACGCUGAGGCGCGAAAGCGUGGGGAGCAAACAGGAUUAGAUACCCCCGUAGUCCCUGUCUCUUAUAC